GAGGCCACAGUCGAUAGUG
rnacentral:misc_RNA from 1 species